rnacentral:lncRNA from 1 species
GUUCGCACACUUGAAUCACACAAGAAUUGCUUGCAAAAUGCCUUGCUAUUUUGCUCUCAACUCAAGUUUAACUUAAGCGUUUGUGCGUACAUAUAAAAUGAGAACAUCCUGUAAUUUAUAGAGUUAGUAGAAUAGGAAUAACUAGAGUUCUAAUGCUAUACUCUUCCAUGGUGUAAGAGUUCUAGUUAUCUUCAACUUCUAACUCCUCCCUUAUCUAGGAUAGAGCUCUCUUUGAGUAAGGAGUCCUUCUCCUUAUCAUUUAUGCAACCUUUCGUUCAGGAGAUAUCAGAUAUAACCACUUAAGCUUAUCUCCUUCACAUGCAUGCCUUGUUCUUGAAUCUACCCGUGUCUGUGUACACAGUGUAUGGACCUAAUUCAUGCUUGAGUUCCUUUGUCAAUCAUUAAAAUAAAAUUCUCUUGGGCCAACAAAUUUCCCCUUUUGAUGAUGACAAACUUUGUGCUUUUUAUAAGCAUAGGCCCCUGUGUCAACGUAGCACAACAUCAACACAAUGUUGGAACACUUUCCAUUUUAAAGUCACAAAUCAUCAAGGACAAGGUUCAUUAUGUUAUAAACACCAUAGUCCAAAGUAAAAAGCACAACUUCAUUAGGUUAUAAACAUCAUAGUCCAAAGUAAAAAGCACAACCUAUCUUCCCCCUUUUGGCAUCAUCAAAAAGUUACAUAACUAUAUUAGAUAACCAGAUUGUAAUAGAAAUUACUCAUGGCCAGUGGGGCUAUGUCAAAUGCAAUCAUGGAGUCAAGCAUCACUUAUCAAUCUGAUGAUAUUAGUCAACUCAGAAGCAUCAACAAACAGUUAGAGCACAAAAAUAGUUGACUAUCAUUGAUACUAGUCGUCCACAAAGCAUAACGAGAAAUAAAAACACUGGAUCAUGAGCAUAAAGAUAAAAAAGAAAUCCCAUCUGGGUCACUGGUUUGUCUAAUUAGGCUAGGAAGGUUUUAAGGCUGGGAACGACCAUGUUCUUAGUUCUUGGCUAGAAGCAGUUACAGCAUAUCAUGAAGAAUGCCAUCAUUCUUCUCUUUUUCCUUUGCAAGCUCAUCUCUGAGAGCAUCUCUCUCAGUUUUUACUUCUACCAACCUCUUCUUCAGCCUUUCAAUCUCAGUAUCCUUAGCCCCACUUUCUUAUACCAAGGCUCGCACUUUGCUGUUCACAGAUAUCUUCUUGGAUGAACCAGGUUCUUUGGGAGUGGUGUGGACUUCAUAUUCACAAGCAGUCAAAGUGUUUGCCCCAAAAUGAUCCUUGCUUGUACCAACUUCCCAUUUCUUGAUUGGUACCUUGAAGUGUGCAAGUACAGCCAUGAGAAUGAAACUAUAAGGAUGGCAUGAGUUUUGGUUCCAGUCAGAAUCCUAUCGAGAAGCUGGAUGAUAAAUCCAGGCUAAUUGAUUUGCCUUCCACUGUCUAGACAUUCCAUAAAGACCAGGUCCGUGAAUGUGGAAAUGUGCCUCAUUUUCUACCUAGGUAGCACAACUUUGCUAACAAAUUUGAACAAUACUUUAUGGGGUGACUUCAUCUCACUUUUGUAUAUAGCCUUGGGCUCAAGCUCUUCUUCAUUGUCACCAAACUUCCUUAUAAUGGUAAGGGCAGAAGGGAGAUUCUCUAGACUUGGUCAUUUGAGUUUCUUGUAAUCAUUGUACCCUGCAACAGGUACACCUAAGAUUUCUCCCAAUUCCUUGUCAUCAAAACUCACUGUUACCCCCUUCACCACACUGGUGACUCUGCCAUUUUUUAUCUCACAGUUUUCCAUGAACUCCAUAAUUCUAGUUCUGGCAAGCUUUCCAUCCAUUUGAAGGACCAUGUCCUUCCAACCCUGAAGUUGUAACUUUUUCAGCAGCAUCAUCAUGCCUUCCUCCUCCAAGUUCCUGAGGAGUAUACCUUUCAAGAUGGUUCUCUUCCCAAACUUAACCAUCUUGUCCUUCUCCUUUCUUCUUCUUCUUCCACUACUUUCACUUUUUGGACUUUAAGGCAAACCUGGUUCUUUUAGCCAAGGUAGAGGGCCCUGCAGACUUUGUCUUAGAAAUAGACUUCUUUGUGGAAGUCUUGAUCUUCUUUGCCUUUGGAGUCACAACCUCCAUUUCUUCUACCUCCUCUUCAUCAAUAAGAACCAAGUCCAUCUCCUCAAUUUCAACUGCCUUAAUAGGCUCAACCACCUUCUUAUUUCCCUUAGCAACAACUUUUCUCUUACUUUCUUCUAGGGCCUUUUCCAGUUUAGCCUCACUUUGCUUCUUCUGACUCCUUGUAGCUCUUUCUCUUGUAGGAGGAGUCACUACAGGGAUAGAAGAGGCAGCAUUUCUUUUCUUAUUGUGCCCUCGCAGUGCCAGGAAUUUUAACUGCUGAACUCCUUUUGUUUUUAGGAUUAUAGCUAUCAGACACUCUUCUCAAUAUGUCUUCGAGGGAUUCCUGCACAAAUGGAACAGGUUCUGGAAACCUCUUCCUCAACCUAACCAACCCCUCAGCAGCUUCGCCAGACCCACUUCCCUUUUUUUUCUCUCACACUUUCUUCUUUUCCAACAGAUUCCUCACUCCAUACUACCAUAGCUCUAAUUUCUUCAGUUAGACCAAGAGGGGUGGGUGAAGAUUUAGCCACUCUUUUUCCCAUUCCCCUAACAUCACCUUGAGAACCCCCACUCUCCUUUUCUUUUCUCCUUUUACUUUUACCACCAAUUUUGCCAGACUCAUGGUCUCUACCCCAGCCAUAAUUCCUACCAGAACAAACCUAUUUUCCUGAUUUGCAGCAACCUCAGAGAUGAUUUUAGAAGUAAUUUUCGGACCAAAAGUUACCUGCUUUGUUUCAGAAGAAAUAGUUCCCUCCCCCCCCCCCCCAGUAGCAGACUUGAAUGUCAAGAUUCAUCAGAUUUCUGGGGUUCUUCUUCCCUACUUGCUUUCAAUGUUUUAUUGAUUUUCUUGAUUUGUUCUUCUCCAGCAAGAUAACCUUGCUUGCAGCCAUCUUGAACCUUCCUUUCUUAGAGGUGGGUAUGGUUGAAGGUGUGAUGGAUGGUAUGGGUGUAGUUUCCUUAGGUGGUGAUGAGGGAUUCUCAUAAGGGUUUGCCAUUGCUAUGUUUGGGUAUGAGAGAAGAUAAGUAUGUGUAUGACUGGAAGAUGAGAGAAGAUAGAAAGAAUUGUUUGACGGCUUAGAAAUUUUGAAGUAAAGAAACAAUUAAGGCCUAAUCAAUAUAAAAAGGAAGAGUUUAAUUGGGUAACAUCUGCUUUUUCAGAAGUUCAGAGGUCUAAUCAAACUGGGAGUCAGUUUGAAGAGACGUUUAUGACUCUCCCUAGAAUCUAGGCACUUAUUGCAUUUUUAGGACUCUUAUGAAUGAAACUGGUUCAUUUCAUAACAGAUACGAUCGACGAGGUAACGAUUAAACGGGACUCACCAUUUGAUCACAAUCCAAAUAUAAUUAUUUCAAAAUAUGCAGAGUGAAGAGUACGUAUCAUGUAAUCUUGAUGAACCAGGUUCUUCACUAAGAAAUCUCUUGUGUAAGUCUGAAUUUUCCAAGAAAAUAAAGAUAAUAUCAUUAGAGAUUAAUGAUACAUUUUUAGCAUAUGGCAGAAGAGUAUACUGAUGAAAGUAUGAGACUGAGCAAAAUCUAAUCUAAUUAUGUAUAAAAAUUCACAGAUUUUCUAAUCAAUUUUUGAGUUAGAUUUGGUUCCUUUUAGGUAAUCUUAAGCAUCCCUAAUUCUAAUUUGUUCCUUUCAAAGUGAUCUCUACUUAGAACUUUUGUGAAGAUGUCAGCUAUUUGCUUGUCAGUAGUACAAAAUUCCACAAUGAUCAAACCCUUUUCAUAAUUGUCCCUCAAAAAGUGAUGCCUCACAUCUAUGUAUUUAGUUCUUUUGUGACAAACCGUGUUCUUGGUCAUACUAAUCGCACUGGUGUUAUCCCAAAAGAUGGGGAUACAGCUUACAUCAAUUCCAAAGUUCAUUAAUUUCUGUUUGAUCCAUAACAAUUGAGCACAACAUGAGGCAACAUCAACAUACUCAGCUUCAGCAGUAGAUAAGGCCAUAGAAUUUUGCUUUUUGGUGGCCCAAGACACAAGACAUGAGCCAAGAAAGUGUGAUAUACCUGAGGUGCUCUUUCUAUCCACAAGAAAAUCUGCAUAAUCAGUAUCAACAUAUCCCACUAAGUUGAAAUUACUACCUUUUGGAUGCCAUAGACAAAGGUCAGUGGUGCCUUUUAGGUAUCUCAAGAUCCUCUUGACAGCAGUCAAGUGAGAUUCCUUUGGAUUUGCCUCAAAUCUAGCACAAAGGCCUACACUGAAAACAAUGUCAGGUCUGCUAGCAGUGAGAUAUAACAAAGAGCCAAUCAUUCCCCUAUAUAACUUCUGAUUAACAGAUGAACCAGGUUCAUCUACAUCCAAAUUUGUGGCUAUUACUUUAGGAGUGUCAAUUUCUUUGGAAUCUUCCAUUUUAAACCUUUUAAGCAACUCUUUCACAUACUUAUGCUGAUGGAUCAUAGUUCCAUUUGAAUUUUAUUUAAUUUGUAAGCCUAAAAAGAAAUUAAGCUCACCCAUCAUACUCAUUUCAAAUUCACUCCCCAUUCGUUUAGCAAAUUCUUUACUUAACUUACCAGUAGUUACUCCAAAGAUUAUAUCAUCAACAUAUAUCUGAACUACCAAAAGAUCUUUACCUUUUUCUUUCAAGAAUAAAGUAUUAUUAAUUUUACCUCUCUUGUAGCAAUGCUCAAGCAAGAAUUUUGAUAAUCUUUCAUACCAUGCUCUUGGAGCCUGCUUCAUCCCAUAGAGUGCCUUGUCAAGCUUGUACACAUGAUCAGGACAUUCCUUGCUUUCAAAGCCCGGAGGAUGCUUGACAAACACUUCUUCCUUUAGAUAGACAUUGAGGAAGGAACUCUUGACAUCCAUCGGAUGGAGAGUGAAUUCCAUAUAAGCAGCAAAGGCUAUAAGGAGUCUAAUUUCCUCCAAUCUUGCAACUGGAGCAAAAGUAACCACCAAUCUUGCCUUGUUCCUUGUAACUGUUCCAUCCUCAUCCAGUUUGUUUCUGAAGAUCCAUUUUAUGCCAAUUAAUGAUCUGUCCUUGGGUCUUGGUACCAGAUGCCAAACUUGACUUCUCUCAAAUUGGUUGAGUUCAUCUUGCAUUGCAGUCACCCAGUCUGCAUCCUGCAAAGCUUCAACAACAUUUUUAUGUUCAAUAAGAGAUAAAAAACCAUCAAAAGCACAAAGAUUCUUCAAAAAAGAUCUGGUUUUGAUUCCAGAGGUUGGAUAAGUAAUUAUAUUCUCAAUGGGAUGAGAAAUUUGAUACUUGUAAAGUUUCACAACCAGCUGGUUUCCCCUAGAUGUUCCUUCAAUGUUUUAUUGCUAAGGAACAGGUUCAUAGACAGGUUCCCUCGAGGUUUGAGGAUCAGUUCCUCUUUGUUCAGUUCCCCCUGUCAAGUAGCCCUGGGCGGAAGAACCUGUUCCAUCACAUGUUCCUUCCUCUGGUGCAUCCUCAGUCUGGGUUGUGGUUUCAUUUGAGUUUCUUACCAGCCCAAUUGCUUCAUCAUCAUGUUCCUGCCUCUCAGAAAGAAUGUUAGUUUCAUAAAAAAUCACAUGUACACUUUCUUCUACACACAUAGUUCUUUUGUUAUAAAUCUUAUAAGCUUUACUAUGUGAAGAAUAUCCCAAGAAUACUCCAUCAUCACUUCUGGAAUCAAACUUACCUAGGGAGUCUUUACCAUUAUUGUGCAUAAAGCACUUGCAUCCAAAUGCCUUAAGAUGGGAUAUGUUUGGCUUUCUCCUUUAAGUAACUCAUAGGGAGUCUUCUCAAUAAGAGGUCUAGUCAUGCACCUAUUUAUGAUGUAACAUGCAGUGUUCACAACUUCUGCCCAUAAACUAUGAGGCAGUUUACUAGAAAGAAACAUAGUCCUAGCCAUUUCUUCCAAUGUCCUAUUCUUUCUUUCAACUAUUCCAUUUUGUUGUGGAGUCCUAGGAGCAGAAAAAUUAUGAUUUAUGCCAUGUUCAUCACAAAAUUUAGCAAAUUUAGCAUUCUCAAAUUCAGUACCAUGAUCAGACCUAAUUGAUGCAAGUUGAUUACCUAGUUGUUUCUGAGUUAAAGAAGUGAACAUGUCAAAUGUUUCAUCUUUAGAUGUUAAAAAUAAUGUCCAGGUAAACCUAAAGUAAUCAUCAACAAGCACCAUCACAUAUCUCUUUCCACCUCUGCUCAAUGUUAUCAUUGGUCCACAAAGAUCCAUAUGGACCAGUUCCAUUGUUCUUGUGGUGCUUACGACUUUCUUGCUUUUGAAAGAGGAUCUUACCUGAAUUCCCCUUGCACAAGCCUUACAAACUUUAUCUUCUUUGAACUUAAUGUUAGGUAGCCCUAUCACCAAAUCUUUGGAGACUAGUUUGUUGAGUUGACUUAGACUGGCAUGUCCAAGUCUCUUGUGCCAAAGGAGGGGAUCAUUAUCCAAUACACUUAAGCAAGUGAGUUCAUUAUCUGAAAGUAUGGACAGAUUUACAACAUAUAUGUUGUUCACUCUUUUUCCCUACAAAACUAUCUUGUCAGUGGUAAGAUUAAUCACAAAGCAUUUUAUAGAGGUGAAUGUUACCAUGUUACCUCUAUCAUACAAUUGUGAUACACUUAUUAGACUGUACUUCAGUCCAUCUAUCAGGUAGACGUUCUCAAUAAAGUGAGAACUAGUCUUACCUACCUUUCCAACCCUAAUGAUCUCACCUUUCUUCCCAUUUCCAAAGGAGACAUUACCUCCUUUAAGAUUCUCAAAUGAAAGGAAUUGGUUCUUGUUUCUUGUCAUGUGCUUUAAUCAGCCACUAUCCAUGUACCAUAUUUGGCUGCUCCCCUUCACUUGGACCUGCAAAAGGAAAUCAUGGGUUAGUAUUAGGAACCCAAACUAGUUUGGGUCCCUUUCUAUAGGCAAACAGAUGAAUCAAAUUCUUUUUAGCCCAACUGGGUAAUUCUUUCCUUGAAUAAAUUCUUUGUUCUUUUGACUUGUCUUUUCUUUUGCAGUGCAUUCACUUUUAUAGUGACAUAUUUUACCAUAGUGUGUGCAAAUCUUGUUCUCAGGAAGUGUGAGGUACUUGCUUUUAGGAUCCCACUUAGGUGCCAGGUUCCCAAAGACAAGUCCUCUUCUCUUGCUAAUAUGGUGUUCGUGUAGCUAUGAAAGUGCAUUGGAGGACCUGUUCCAUUUACAAGUUUUGUCUAGCUCAUGCUUGACCUUGCUUAGAUCCUCCUUUAGGAUUCUUACCUACUCAUCCCUUUUAUACACCUCAUAUUUCAUUUUUCCUAUAUUUUCUUCUAGAGUGAGUUGUGUGUGAUUAGUUGUCUUUUUACCUGUUCCUAAUUUCAAUUUUAGAUUUUCAGAUCUAAGCACUAGGACAGUUGAGUCAAGUGCAUGAACCUGGUUCUUCAACACAGUAUUUUCACUUACAGUUUCACUUACCAUAAGUUCUAGGUUUUUGCACUUAGCCUUUAAAAUCACACAUUCUUUAGACAACUGUUCCUUUUCAUUGUUUACAUCCUCAGAUUCAUCAAUUAGUUCUAGAAGUAACUCAGAUAACCUUUCUUUAGACAACAAUUUAAUCUUGUCUUUGAGAUGAAUUACACUUACCUUAGUUUUUUCAUCAGAUUCUCCAAUGGGCAUAAGUGUUUGUUCAUCCUCAUCAUCAUCUGAGCUUUCUCCCUAAGCAACGACCAUAACCUUGGUUGAUCCUUUGUUGUUGCUUUUCUUGGGUUGAACCUGUUCCUUCUUCUUGUUACUUUGUUCAGCUCUUUCCUUCUUCCAUUCAAUUUCCCAUAGAGGACAGUUCUUGACGUGGUGAUUAGUCCUUCCACACUUGUAGUAGCCAUCAUUGGUUUGCUUCUCAGGAGCUUUUGACUUGCUAUAGUUUCCAUUUCUUGAAGAGCCUUUUCCUCUCCUCGGGUACUUCUUGAAGUCCUUAAUGAUCAUAGCUAUUUCAUCAUCUUCUAGAUCAGAACCUUCAGUGAUUCUAAGUGCCAAGCUCCUUUCCUUCUUAGGUACAUCAAUUUUUAUGGUUUGUCUCCUAAGUUUAUAGGCAGUGAGAUUUUCAAUUAAUUCAUCUAUUGGGAGAGUGACAAUAUUCUUUGAUUCCUGAAUGGUAGUGAUUUUGCUCUCCCAAGUGAUAGGCAAAACCCUAGUCAGUAUUUUCUCGACUCUAUCUUCUUCAGGAAUAAUCCUUCCAAGAGACUUUAGUUCAUUUGUCAGUGUAGUGAACCUUGUGUACAUCUUUUGAAUGGUUUCUCCUUCCUUUAUACAAAGUUCUCAUAUUGCGAAUACAAUAAAGUUUCUCUAGAUCUCUUCACCUGAGGUGUUUCUUCAUGAGCCACUUGCAAUAUAUCCCAAAUUUGCUUAGUAGUGGUACAUCUUUGAAUUCUGCUGUACUCAUCUCGACCAAGUCCACAAACAAGCCAUUUCUUGGCUUUUAUAUUCUUCUCCCAUUUCUUCAAGUCCUCAGCAGUGCAAUCCGCUCUUGUCUUUGGCACCUCUACUCCUUCCGUAUUUAUCUUCAUGGUAUCCAGUGGACCAUCGGUGACAAUGGCCCAUAACUCAUAGUCCUCUCCUAUAAUGUGAUCUCUCGUCAUGUUUUUCCACCAAGAGUAGUACUGGCCGUUAAAGAGUGGUGGCCUAGCAGUAGAUUGCCCUUCCCAGUUUUCAGGUGGUGCACUUAUGUUGAUCUUCUCCUAAGGUGUAAGCCUCUUCAAGGAGAACCUGCUCUGAUACCAAUUGAUGUUUUAUACUUCAAUGCCACACAAAAGGGGGGGUGAUUUGUGUGGUGUCCAAUUUUGGCGUGCACUGAUUAUAGAAGAACCUGGUUCUUCUAUGUACUCCUUAUAUUACUGUUGCGAAAAUAGUAAAUGCGAAAAGUAAAGAACACAAGUAUUUUUAUGUGGAAAACACCGGACUCAAAAGAUGAAAAAACCACGACCUACUACUCAGUAGGAUUUUCCCCAACACUUNNNNNNNNNNNNNNNNNUAGGAUAGAGUUCUCUUCGAGUAAGGUGUCCUUCACCUUAUCAUUUAUGCAACAUUUUCGUUCAGGAGAUAUCAGAUAUAACCACUUAAGCUUAUCUACUUCACGUGCAUCUUGUGCUUGAAUCUGCCCGUGUCUGUAUACACUGUGUAUGGACCUGGUUCAUACUUGAGUUCCUUUGUCAAUUAUCAAAACAAACUUCACUUGCGCCAACAAGAUUGAUGGCGUGAUGGAUGGGAAUUGGGACUUCCCAUUAUAAGUGGUCGUAAUUUAUUAAUUACAACAAAGAGGACAAAACCUAGAAAAAGAAAAACAAGGUACAAAAGGGAAACAUUUAGAAUUUGAUAUAUUCUCUGUCCAAAAAGAAGGGGAAAAAAUCGUUUAAAGCGUAUGGUAACACAUUUAUUAUUC